AUUGAACGCUGGCGGCAUGCCUUACACAUGCAAGUCGAACGGCAGCACGGGUGCUUGCACCUGGUGGCGAGUGGCGAACGGGUGAGUAAUACAUCGGAACAUGUCCUGUAGUGGGGGAUAGCCCGGCGAAAGCCGGAUUAAUACCGCAUACGAUCUACGGAUGAAAGCGGGGGACCUUCGGGCCUCGCGCUAUAGGGUUGGCCGAUGGCUGAUUAGCUAGUUGGUGGGGUAAAGGCCUACCAAGGCGACGAUCAGUAGCUGGUCUGAGAGGACGACCAGCCACACUGGGACUGAGACACGGCCCAGACUCCUACGGGAGGCAGCAGUGGGAAUUUUGGACAAUGGGCGAAAGCCUGAUCCAGCAAUGCCGCGUGUGUGAAGAAGGCCUUCGGGUUGUAAAGCACUUUUGUCCGGAAAGAAAUCCUUGGCUCUAAUACAGUCGGGGGAUGACGGUACCGGAAGAAUAAGCACCGGCUAACUACGUG
rnacentral:rRNA from 1 species